AUUGAACGCUGGCGGCAGGCCUAACACAUGCAAGUCGAGCGAGCGGCGGACGGGUGAGUAAUGUAUGGGGACUGCCCGAUCGAGGGGGAUAACUACUGGAAACGGUAGCUAAUACCGCAUACUAUCGGAUAACCCAUAUGGGGUUAGCUAGUAGGUGAGGUAAUGGCUCACCUAGGCGACGAUCACUAGCUGGUCUGAGAGGAGUAUCAGCCACCCUGGCACUGAGACACGGCCCAGACUCCUACGGAGGCAGCAGGGGGGAAGAUGGGACAAUUGGCGCAAGCCUGAUGCAGCCAUGCCGCGUGUAUGAAGAAGGCCCUAGGGUUGUAAAGUACUUUCAGUCUGGAGGCGUUACCGACAGAAGAAGCACCGGCUAACUCCGUGCCAGCAGCCGCGGUAAUUC
rnacentral:rRNA from 1 species